GAUGAACGCUGGCGGCAUGCCUAAUACAUGCAAGUCGAACGAGAGGAAGGAAAGUUUGCUUUUCUGAAUCUAGUGGCGAACGGGUGAGUAACACGUAGGUAACCUGCCCAUGUGCCCGGGAUAACUUCUGGAAACGGAUGCUAAAACCGGAUAGGUAGCAGACAAGCAUUUGACUGCUAUUAAAGCGGCUAAGGCCAUGAACAUGGAUGGACCUGCGGUGCAUUAGCUAGUUGGAGAGGUAACGGCCCACCAAGGCGACGAUGCAUAGCCGGCCUGAGAGGGCGGACGGCCACAUUGGGACUGAGACACGGCCCAAACUCCUACGGGAGGCAGCAGUAGGGAAUUUUCGUCAAUGGGGGGAACCCUGAACGAGCAAUGCCGCGUGAGUGAGGAAGGUCUUCGGAUCGUAAAGCUCUGUUGUAAGAGAAAAACGACAUUCAUAGGGAAUGAUGAGUGAGUGAUGGUAUCUUACCAGAAAGUCACGGCUAACUACGUGCCAGCCGCCGCGGUAA
rnacentral:rRNA from 1 species